rnacentral:rRNA from 1 species
AUUGAACGCUGGCGGCAUGCCUUACACAUGCAAGUCGAACGGUAACGGGUCCUUCGGGAUGCCGACGAGUGGCGAACGGGUGAGUAAUAUAUCGGAACGUGCCCAGUAGUGGGGGAUAACUGUUCGAAAGAGCAGAUAAUACCGCAUACGACCUGAGGGUGAAAGGGGGGGAUCGCAAGACCUCUCGCUAUUGGAGCGGCGGAUAUCAGAUUAGCUAGUCGGUGGGUGAAAGGCCUACCAAGGCAACGAUCUGUAGUUGGUCUGAGAGGACGACCAGCCACACUGGGACUGAGACACGGCCCAGACUCCUACGGGAGGCAGCAGUGGGGAAUUUUGGACAAUGGGCGCAAGCCUGAUCCAGCAAUGCCGCGUGCAGGAAGAAGGCCUUCGGGUUGUAAACUGCUUUUGUCAGGGAAGAAAUCUUCUGGGCUAAUACCCCGGGAGGAUGACGGUACCUGAAGAAUAAGCACCGGCUAACUACGUGCCAGCCGCCGCCGUAA